AUCUCUGCAGGCUUUCAAAGGGUGAGGAGUGAUGAGAUUCUUUGUUGCAUUGAUAAAUUAGCUCUUUCACUUAUAUCAUCAUUCAAUUGCUUCUUUACAGUUUCAAGAUGAUUACGAGAUUUAACUUUUGGAUUCAACUCAGUUAUUUUAUGAACCAUUGUUGGAAAGGAUAUAGCAACAAACUUGUGGGAUCCCUAAUACAAAAUUGACAAAGGAAAAUGGGUUGAGUAAAAGUUCCAAACUGAUAUAGGAAGUAUCUAAAAGGAAUGGUCUUUAAAAUAGGGUUUUCAAGGAUUCAAGUGCUACAAGUAAAAGCUACAGAAGGGGUAAUUUGUGUUAGUGAUUCAGUCUAUCAAGUAUAUAAUUAGGAACCAAAAGAAGAUAAAGGAAGACUUAAGAGCUGCAUUAUGGUUGCACCUAUGCAUUAUACCCGUAAUGGUGAGCUAUUUUUGAGGAGUAUGAUUUUGAUUUGGGGAUUUGGGGUUUCUUAUGUUUGAUUCUAAUAAAGGUUUGAUGAAUGGAAUGAAAACUGAACAUGAAUGUAUAAAUUUGCUUGUGAGCUUCAAGGAAAGAUAUAGUGUCAUACCUAAACUUCCUAGGCCAUCACAUAUCAUUGGUAUCCAACUUAUAGUUAAGGUCACAUCACAUAAAAUCCUAAAGAGGACAAAGGGCUUGUUUAAUUAUGGAAAACUAGUGCUAUUUUUAAUAAGUUCUUCCACAUAAUAAAAAUAAUGGAGUUCUGUAUUCAGAUUUAAUCAUUUUCAGGUUCCAAAUAUUUAUCAACGCUAUAAAACAAAAAAAACACUUGUUUACAAUUAUUUUUCUGUAAGACUCCACUUCCCUUUUGCUUGUCAUAUAUCCUUUAUUUCUACCAGCACCAGACAGCCAUCCCCCUUCCACUCUCCCUCCAGCAGCAUUACUACCACGAUGAAAUCAACAAUGAGAACAUCUUUAAUAUUAUUGACAAUGGUACUACCACCUCAACCACAUUGCUGCUGUUGGCAAUGCUAUAAUCGUCACUUUUACUGCUAUCAUGCACUGCCAUUAGUGCCAUUGCCAUAACACCAUUAUUAUUGGUUAUCAAUGCCGAAACUGAUGACAUUUCCACCACCUCACACUGUCAAUGGCAGUAUAAUCAUAAAUGCUGCUUGUUGCUGUUGGCUUCAUCACAGCCAUUGCCACUUUCCACCACUUUCCAUCGCCACUGCCCAAAUGUCCUUUUCCUAGCUCACAUCAAAUAAGUCUUACUUUUUCAUAAAUAUAAAUAUAAUAUAACUCCUAAAUAGAAAAGAAUUGACAAGGAAUCCUAAAUCAUGCAAUGAAUUAUAAAGAAUAGUUCUAUCUUUUCCCACUUAUUUAUGUCAGUCGCUUAUAACUGAAAUCGCAACUGAUAUCUAUAUUUUUUAACUUAUUUUGCUCCAAUAUUUUGAUUGGUCAUGACAGCUUUCUAAUUCGGGGGUGUUCAAUUUUUGCCUAAAACUUGUGUUUAUGUUAGCGCCUUUGUCAAUAAUUUGGUUUGUAUUUGAUUAAGAAGGAUCCUUUAAUAAUUUAUCUCUGAAAUGGGUCAUAUCAUGUUGUGUUCGUAUCAGGUUAUAUAUUCAGGAUUUUCUUAGUAACUUUGUGUCAUAUCCAAAAUUGGCUGGCCUAUUUCUAAUUACUUUUGCCUAUUUAAUGUUUAUUUUUGUUUUUCAACAUUUUCAUUUUCAAUGUUCUGACUUCCUGUGAUUUUCUUUAGAAAAAGCAAUAACUGAAAAAUUUAAAUUGCAUACAGACAAAUUUGAGUGGAUCAAAAUUAUAUGUUGUUUAAAACAGAUGUUGGCCAUUAUAAUUGGCUUACAGUGAGCAAAUGAUUAGGCAUGAACCUGCCAAAAUUAUGAAGUUCGAGUCUUUCAACUUGAAUUUUGGUCCAUUUGAAAUAUAAAGACCCCCUUUGGCAGGUGUUGAAGAACUUUCUUGAUAC
rnacentral:misc_RNA from 1 species